rnacentral:rRNA from 1 species
UACGUAGGGGGCAAGCGUUGUCCGGAAUCAUUGGGCGUAAAGAGCGUGUAGGCGGCUUGGUAAGUCCGCUGUGAAAGUCCAGGGCUCAACCCUGGAAUGCCGGUGGAAACUGUCAAGCUUGAGUCCGGAAGAGGCGAGUGGAAUUUCCGGUGUAGCGGUGAAAUGCGUAGAUAUCGGAAGGAACACCUGUGGCGAAAGCGGCUCACUGGACCAUUACUGACGCUGAUGCACGAAAGCUAGGGGAGCAAACAGG